GAUGAACGCUGGCGGCGUGCCUAAUACAUGCAAGUCGAGCGAACAGACGAGGAGCUUGCUCCUCUGACGUUAGCGGCGGACGGGUGAGUAACACGUGGAUAACCUACCUAUAAGACUGGGAUAACUUCGGGAAACCGGAGCUAAUACCGGAUAAUAUAUUGAACCGCAUGGUUCAAUAGUGAAAGACGGUUUUGCUGUCACUUAUAGAUGGAUCCGCGCCGCAUUAGCUAGUUGGUAAGGUAACGGCUUACCAAGGCGACGAUGCGUAGCCGACCUGCGAGGGUGAUCGGCGACACUGGAACUGAGACACGGUCAAGACUCCUACGGGAGGCAGCAGUAGCGAAUCUUCCGCAAUGGGCGAAAGCCUGACGGAGCAACGCCGCGUGAGUGAUGAAGGUCUUCGGAUCGUAAAACUCUGUUAUUAGGGAAGAACAAAUGUGUAAGUAACUAUGCACGUCUUGACGGUACCUAAUCAGAAAGCCACGGCUAACUACGUG
rnacentral:rRNA from 1 species